UAAUAGGUUUCAAUAAUACAUUGUUGAUAUACAAUCUUGGUUCUUUCAAGCUGAAGCUAAAUAUAUUUGUUACAUAAAACUCAUUUAUGUUGUAUAGAAUUAAAACUCUCUUCAGAGGUCAUAGUUUUAAACAAAUAUGCAUACACAUCUAAAUAAAUAUUAAAUCCCAAACAAUGACUUUAUUUUGACAGAAUCUAUAGAAAAUACAACCUUACAUAUAUAACCUACUAAACAAUAGAAACAUUUUAAAUGCCAGCUUGAAAGAAGCCUAAAAGUUUUUAGGAUGAGAAAGUUGCAUUAUGAAUUAAAAUAUACACAUUUCAAAGACUUCAAAAGUGGAAGUUGCUUAUAAGGUGAUUUUUGCUUAUAAGGUGAUUUUUGCUGCUCUGAAAAUAAAAGAGGCUUACGUAACAUUUUAAAAAUUAUUUCUUCCAUAUCCAUUGAUGUAAUAUAACAUUCAUAUGUACAUACACAAGAAAAACAAAUUUUAGACUAACAUUUCAGUUAUUUUUUAGGGUAUGUGAAAUCAUUUGUUUUUCUCCACUCUAUCUCUGGGUCAAGGUCUAUAGCAUUUAUUUGAGCCAGCUAUCUAUCUCCUUUUCAUAAGGGCCCCAGGAGGCAAUAGUCAUACAUUGUUACUUCAGCCUUCACAAAGGCAAAACAGUACAGAGCCCUGUACUGUAAUGGACAACACAGAACAGUCCCCAUUGCAGUUCCUGCUGCACUGACAAGACUCCUUCAGAGCCCGGCACGUGACUGGCACGACCCGCACCGGCCUCGGUCCCGUCACCUCGUGGGUGCGCCGCCGGAGGUUCCAAAACGGAGAAAAGCCAGUCGCCGUCUCUAACGUAUUUGGAGAAAUACUGAUGGAUCAGGGAGGGCUGUGACCUUCUGAGCUUCGCCGCGCCCGCCGGACCUUUGACCGUCUCAUUAGCACCUUCCACCGCGUCGCAGGAAGGCUGCGGGGCUGGAGACUCUGGCCGCGGGGGGUUGGCGGGGAUGGAGCGUCCCCGCGACCGUCUCCGGCGCGCACUGCCCCGGCUCCAGGUGCGCGGCGGGAGGGGUGUGGGCGGGACGCGGGACCUAAACCCAGGCAAAGUCGCGCAGCCGGCGAAAUUCCCGCUGGGUCCCCGCACCCCGUCUGCGCGGAGCACUUCGGGCCCUCCUGUCGCAUCCUUUCAUCUCUGGGUCUCUCUGCUGCAGGGCGCGGCGGCCGGAGGUUCCCGGCUCGGCUUCCGCUGCGGAGCCGGGGUGGAGAUGGGGCGCGGGGACCCCACGCCGGAGAGCCGGAGAGCCCGGGAGCCGCAGCGCGCUCCGCCCGAUCCCCUUUCAGGGCUGUGUCCGCGCCGCUCUCUGGAAGCUAGUGGACCACAAAGUUGGAAGAAAUAGCGCGAACUGUAAAGGGGGAUCCCCCCUCCCUCUCGCAGUCUCAAGGGACAAUCUUUCCAAAAAUGUGGUGCCUGACUUCAGUUAAAUUCUUUGCCGUCGUUCUUAGCCGUCUGUUUCUGUUUGGAAAUAAUUACAAAAUGGAUUUUCGAACUGCCGCAUAGAGAAAGGAACCGGGAAGGGGCAAGUCAGAGCCCACCGACCGUAUUAGGAGUCCCGUGGAUCCCACCGGAGGCCUGCCUGGAGGAGGCGUGUGCUUCGCGACAUCUGGGGAGGGCGCCGCAAAGCUUCGGUGAGACAGCCUGCUGAGAGUUGUGAAUGGCGAGGGGAGCGCUCCAUCAGCUGGCUAGAGAAAAAAAAAAAAAA